AUUUUAAUAAAGAUUAAGUACUAAAUAGANNNCCCAACANUAGUUGAUUACANUGAACAAGUUACUGUAGGGAUAACAGCGUAAUAUAUAUCUAAAGUUCUUAUUUUGAUAUAAGUUUGCGACCUCGAUGUUGAAUUNAUAUUACUUUCAAGCGCAAGAGCCUGAAAAGUGGGUCUGUUCGACCCCUAAAUAUAUACAUGAUUUGAGUUCAAAUCGGUGUAAACCAGAUUGGUUUCUAUCUAUUNUUAUUUGUGUCUUAGUACGAAAGGACCUGAAACAAUAUUAUAUAAUNAUUUAUAUGGCAGAAAAAUGCUUUAGAUUUAGGAUCUAAUUAUAAUAGAUUAUUAUACUCUAUUUAACUUGCCUAAUCUCUGUUAUUAGAAUCCUUAUCGCAGUAGCUUUUUAUACCCUCCUAGAGCGAAAAAUUCUAAGCUACAUCCAAAUU
rnacentral:rRNA from 1 species